rnacentral:rRNA from 1 species
CGCCUGUUUUAUCAAAAACAUCUCUUCCUGAAAAUAAAAAAAGAAGUAGGCUCUGCUCAGUGAAACUUUUACACAGCCGCAGUACUUUGACUGUGCUAAGGUAGCAUAUUAAUUUGUUCCGUAAUUGGGAACUGGAAUGAAAGAGUUGACGACAUCUUUGCUCUCUCGCCAAAACAUUUAAAUUUAGUACCUGCGUAAAAAAACGCAGCUUUCUUAAGGGACGAUAAGACCCUAUAAAACUUUACUUAAUAAAAACUCUUUCGCAAGAAAUUAAAGUCAAACAUUAAGUUGAGCUGGGGCGGUGUUUAUAUUUCUAAAAUAAAACUAACAAAUUUAUUGAUUUUAUAGAUCUUUUAAUAGAUUAGAAUAAGUUACUUUAGGGAUAACAGCGUAAUUUUUUAUUAUAGAUCUAAUAGAUUAAAAAGACUUACGACCUCGAUGUUGAAUUGAAAUACCGCGCAAAAGCAUAAAUUUGCAAGGGGGGUCUGUUCGACCCGUAAAUUUUC